AGAGUUUGAUCCUGGCUCAGGAUGAACGCUGGCGGCGUGCCUAAUACAUGCAAGUCGAACGCACAGCGAAAGGUGCUUGCACCUUUCAAGUGAGUGGCGAACGGGUGAGUAACACGUGGACAACCUGCCUCAAGGCUGGGGAUAACAUUUGGAAACAGAUGCUAAUACCGAAUAAAACUCAGUGUCGCAUGACACAAAGUUAAAAGGCGCUUUGGCGUCACCUAGAGAUGGAUCCGCGGUGCAUUAGUUAGUUGGUGGGGUAAAGGCCUACCAAGACAAUGAUGCAUAGCCGAGUUGAGAGACUGAUCGGCCACAUUGGGACUGAGACACGGCCCAAACUCCUACGGGAGGCUGCAGUAGGGAAUCUUCCACAAUGGGCGAAAGCCUGAUGGAGCAACGCCGCGUGUGUGAUGAAGGCUUUCGGGUCGUAAAGCACUGUUGUAUGGGAAGAACAGCUAGAAUAGGGAAUGAUUUUAGUUUGACGGUACCAUACCAGAAAGGGACGGCUCAAUACGUGCCAGCAGCCGCGGUAAUACGUAUGUCCCGAGCGUUAUCCGGAUUUAUUGGGCGUAAAGCGAGCGCAGACGGUUGAUUAAGUCUGAUGUGAAAGCCCGGAG
rnacentral:rRNA from 1 species